rnacentral:tRNA from 4 species
GGGGCUGUAGCUCAGUUGGCUAGAGCACCUGCUUUGCAAGCAGGGGGUCGUCGGUUCGAGUCCGAUCAGCUCCACAA